GCAAAUUACCGACAAACCUGAUUGGUAACUUCGGCGAUAAUGCGACGACUGGUAGCUUUUGCGAAAUUCCACCGGCUCCGGUUUUAUUUCGUUUUUAUGAACCACCAUCGUCCCAAUGUUGUGUGUACGUGUGUGACUAACAUCUGCCUUCGGAACAACGUCCCCAUGUUUAUUUUGGAAUGCGAGCCGAGACCGCCUUCUCUCUGCACACCAUAGUGAAACGACGCCAUGUCCGAUCAACCUUCAGCCGAUUUUCGUGUGAAACGAAAUAAACAAAGGAACGGGUUGUCCCAUUUCACCUGGAGCUUGGAUGCCGCCAUUCACGAAAAGGAAAUUAAGUUGGAGAAUGCCCCGAGCCGGGCGAUUUAAUUAAGAAGAGGAGCGUUGUUUUGCAUUUACAAGAUGGAAGACGGAGGAACUUGGGAGAGCGUAACUGGAAGGCGUUUAUGAAAAUUUGUCGCGAAAUGUGAAGGACGGGAAUGUUAAUCAGUCAUUGAUGAUGCCAGUGUCGUACUAGAAUCCAAUUUGAGUUAUACUAAAACAGAAAAUUUGAUUUGAAAUUCCGAAAUUCAGUCCAAAUACCCAUUCUAUAUGAUAUUCUAUACAUUAAAUCAAUACAAGACAAAAAUUAUAUAAUAUUAAAAGCUUUUUGUGUGUGAAGUGGUUACUUUAAUUAUAAAAUUAUUUAAUUAUUUAGUUAAUUAGAUAAAUCUGCGCCACUGUUUGCAGCCAGCGACUAAAUGUUUUGUUGUUUUUAUUCCUAUGAAAGUGUUCUGUAUACAUAAAAGAAAUGGUAAUUAAUGUAAAUUGUACCUAAUUUAAAAAGCACAUAAACUCACGUUUCUAUUUUCAUUAUAAAGUUAAUUAAAACCUUUACGUAUUUUUUGAAUAUUUUGAA